rnacentral:rRNA from 1 species
UGGAAGUAAAAGUCGUAACAAGGUCUCCGUUGGUGAACCAGCGGAGGGAUCAUUACCG